UACGGAGGGUCCGAGCGUUAUCCGGAAUCAUUGGGUUUAAAGGGUCCGUAGGCGGAUCUGUAAGUCAGUGGUGAAAUCUCACGGCUCAACCGUGAAAUUGCCAUUGAUACUGCAGAUCUUGAAUUAUUGGGAAGUAAUUAGAAUAUGUAGUGUAGCGGUGAAAUGCUUAGAGAUUACAUGGAAUACCGAUUGCGAAGGCAGGUUACUACCAAUACAUUGACGCUGAUGGACGAAAGCGUGGGGAGCGAACAGG
rnacentral:rRNA from 1 species